AACAAGGUGAAUUGUACAUACUUUGUAUUUACUAUAUAUGUUAUUGGUUUCCUAAUGCUUAGUAUAGUAGUCGUGGAUCACAUGAUAAUCACGUGAUCUCGAAUAUUUUGUAUACGCUAUAUUAGUGUCAUUUUUACGAGUUAGUUUUAUUAACAUUUCUAAUAUAAUUCAGAUCAUCAUUGAUAUGUACUAAAAUUAAGGAAAAUGUAAAACAUUAAUUUCCGGAACCUUCCGAUCUAUUUUUGACCAAUCGGGUUGGAGUUUAAAUACAGUUUAAAUACAAGGCCUUUGUUACUGGUCAGUACAAUAUCAGACAGCUGACAAUCAACAGGUGGAUCAAGUUUUCAAGUUUCUCCAGUAAUCUAUUCCGGAUCAAAAUAUAUAUAAUUGUUGUUGAAAUCAAUUCACAACAAGAAAAUGUAACGGUGAACUCCCAUCUUUACCUUACUUAGGGUGAGUUAUACUGUUGUAUUAGAUUACGUUAAAUACUAUUGUCGUAUUAUAACAUACUGUCACUCACAGGGUAUUUUAUGACAGGUAUAUAAGUUCAUAUGUAAUCUGAACGUACAUGAAAUGAAUGAGUAUAUGUAAGUGUAUGAAUAACUUGAUUAAUGUAAUUUAGUGAAUGCAAUUACAUUAUUAUCAAAAUGUUAUCAUUUACCAUUCUUUUAUUAUUUUUAUCAUGAAUAAUUGAUUUGUCAAAUAUAUUGUCUGCGAGGAACUGAAUGUUUUUCUAAUAUGUUUGCAGACAAAUGCCAGAAAACACGUGAUGGACAAUAAAUAACAUGGAAUGAAAA